rnacentral:rRNA from 1 species
UACGGAGGAUGCAAGCGUUAUCCGGAAUGAUUGGGCGUAAAGCGUCCGCAGGUGGCUAUGUAAGUCUGCUGUUAAAGAGUGAGGCUCAACCUCAUAAGAGCAGUGGAAACUACAUAGCUAGAGUGCGUUCGGGGCAGAGGGAAUUCCUGGUGUAGCGGUGAAAUGCGUAGAUAUCAGGAAGAACACCGGUGGCGAAGGCGGCUCUCUGGGACGGUACUGACGCUGAGACGCGAAAGCGUGGGGAGCGAACAGG